UACGUAGGGUCCGAGCGUUGUCCGGAAUUAUUGGGCGUAAAGCGCGUGUAGGCGGCUUUGCAAGUCGGGUGUGAAAGCCCUCAGCUCAACUGAGGAAGUGCGCCCGAAACUGCAGAGCUUGAGUACCGGAGAGGAUGGCGGAAUUCCCCAAGUAGAGGUGAAAUUCGUAGAUAUGGGGAGGAACACCGGUGGCGAAGGCGGCCAUCUGGACGGAUACUGACGCUGAGACGCGAAAGCGUGGGUAGCAAACAGG
rnacentral:rRNA from 1 species